CAAGACUCCUACGGGAGGCAGCAGUGGGGAAUAUUGCACAAUGGGGGAAACCCUGAUGCAGCGACGCCGCGUGAGUGAAGAAGUAUUUCGGUAUGUAAAGCUCUAUCAGCAGGGAAGAAAAUGACGGUACCUGAUUAAGAAGCCCCGGCUAACUACGUGCCAGCGGCCGCGGUAAUACGUAGGGGGCGAGCGUUAUCCGGAAUUACUGGGUGUAAAGGGAGCGUAGACGGCGAGGUAAGCCUGAAGUGAAAUGCCGGGGCUUAACCCCGAAACUGCUUUGGAAACUGUGCAGAUAGAGUGCAGGAGAGGUAAGUGGAAUUCCUAGAGUAGCGGUGAAAUGCGUAGAUAUUAGGAGGAACUCCAGUGGCGAAGGCGGCUUACUGGACUGUAACUGGCGUUGAGGCUCGAAAGCGUGGGGAGCAAACAGGAU
rnacentral:rRNA from 1 species